UCUCUCUUUCAUUUUAAAUUGCUUUUCCCGUUUUCUCUCCCUCUCUCUUUCUCUCCUUCCCUCUUCUCUCUCCUCUCUCCUCAAACCCUAAAAAUGUUUAGAAAAAAAAGACACAGACUCCUAUCCCCGUCGUUGGAAACCAAGAUCGCGUCGGGACUAACCUCCCCGCUGCUUUCACUCAUCCACAACUAAGCUGAAUCUUCCAUGAAAAUGCUGCUUUCACUCAUCCACAACUAAGAGGGUUGCAGAGGCGAGUUUGGUGGUCGGAUUCGUAGAGUGGAAGCCAAAAUCGGUUCAGUGGUGAGCGGCGGUCGGAGGAACGCACAGUGCUGAUUGAGCUGUCUCAUGAGCAUCCCACCUGUCUCUUUUGCCUUCACUUCAAUUGUUCUGCAGAAAGGAGGACUCUCAAUUGGAGAUGUGGCAGCACUGUAUAGAUCAACACAAUCCUACAUUCACCAACCUUUUUCCAUCCACGAAGACCAAAGUCGAUUCAUCUACAACAGUAAUCAUUGGCGACAAGGGUGACGGCAUUAAAGUAUCGUACCUCCACCAUCUAACAGUGCUGCUGUUGUGGAUAUUACAAGAAAGUUCUCAUCAAAUCAAAAUACUAUUACGGUUGGCGGGUCUUUUGCCAUUGACCCUCUGACACAGAUCAAAGUAAGGUUCAACAAUUACGGAAAGCUUGGGGGAUUGCUACAGCAUGAGAUUUUCCCCAAGUCAGUGCUGACUAUUUCUGGUGAGGUUGAUCCAAAGUUUGGUUUGGCCAUUGAUCUCAAACCUUGAAGUUUUCCUUAUUUUUGAAACAUGUGAUUGAAGCCAAAACUCUAUUCAAUUUUUUUUUUGGCUCUUGAAGGGAGGGAAGAAUAAUAAGUUCCACAUAUGAGCAUUUCUAGGAUCUUUCUGAACGGAUGAAUCAUCUCAAUAACUUGAAUCCAGCAGUGCAAUAGAGUCACAUUCAUGUAGACUUCUAUCUCAGGUUCUGUAAAGUGAUACAUGACAUAUUGUACUUUGCAUUACUCAUAUUUUCCUUAUUUUACUUACUGUUUAAAGAGCUUUCAAGAUUAUAACAAACCAACUAUGUAAAUGAUGUGUACUUCCUGCAUUUAUCAGUUUUGAAUCCAACUUCACAAUCCUCAAUGAAACUCGACAACCUUCCAUGUUAGUGGUAAACAAUUAUACUAUAGUGCCCUCAAUGAAACUUUGUAUUUUAUCAAUUCAUCGAAGCUGUAUAUGUUUUUCUCUAUUGCUUUCUACAUUAUAAUGGAAGGAAAUGACUACAACAUUUAUUUUUGAAGAACCAUUUUUCUUUCUACUUGCAGAGUUAAUGAAAUGACACAAGUUUUGAUCUUUGUAUCCUUUUUGCUUUCAAACAACUAUGUUUACUAAAGGAUCUAUUUUACAGGUACUACUUAAAGUUGUUAGUCACUGUCCUAGAUCUAAUGAUGGUCUGUGUCUGUGUUAAGAUGCUCUAGCCUCUAUGUAUACCAACUUCCAAAGUUAAAAUUUAUUGGAAGAGGUUAUGCAAAGAAAAUUGAAAGAGAUUAUUAUGCAUAGAAAACUGAAAGAAGUUAAAGAAGUCUAAUAAACCAAGAUCCAAUCAGUGAAUUUAUGAAGUAGUCUAUUGAGUUAUGCAGAACUUUUGUUUUUCAUUUGAAUAACUGUUCAGAUACCCCCACUUUAUAUAUUCAGAUAAUUAUUCAAACAACAUGCAUGCAAUGUGCUAUCUAACUGUUUUAUAAAUAAAUAUGACAACGAAAUAGGAUAGGAUCCAUCUAUGUUUUUUUUAAACUCAAUUAA